UACGAAGGGGGCUAGCGUUGCUCGGAAUCACUGGGCGUAAAGGGCGCGUAGGCGGUCAGCACAAGUCAGUUGUGAAAUCUCCGGGCUUAACUCGGAAAGGUCAACUGAUACUGUGCGACUAGAGUGCAGAAGGGGCAACUGGAAUUCUCGGUGUAGCGGUGAAAUGCGUAGAUAUCGAGAGGAACACCUGCGGCGAAGGCGGGUUGCUGGGCUGACACUGACGCUGAGGCGCGAAAGCUAGGGGAGCAAACAGG
rnacentral:rRNA from 1 species